GUUGCUCCCUCUCCCCCAGCAUCCUCCUGGGACAUACAGCGAUGGCCCCCACACCUGGAAGGACUCAAGCUCUGAAUCCAGCACCUUCAGGAAGCAAGUGAUGGCAUCCCAGAGGCCCUAUGCUUGAGACAGACUGACGAAAACAGGUGGAUCUAGGUAAAAUCAGUCUCUGCUACCCUCCUCAUCUAAACCCUCAGUGCAGGGCCACCUUGGAAGCCAUGUGUUAACACUGAGUGAUCCUCCUCAGCCAAGUCCCUAAUGCAUGGAAAAGAACCUCCUGACCCAGUCCCCAAAGGCUGGACUUUUCCUUUGCAAGAAAUAAGGAGGUAUUGUAUUAAGCCACAGUGUUGUUCUAUUACAGAAGAUUAAGCAGUGCUUAAAUUAACAUAUACCUCCCCCAAAAAAAACAUGGUCAGGAGUCAGGUAACUCUUAUAAAGUAAUUAGCACCUAGUGUCACGGAAUGUGGAUUUCUGUCAAUGUGAGGCCAUGGGACCCUGGAACAAUGCUGCCACUUCCUAUGAAUCUAUUUCUUAAAUUGCAGGGUAAAGUUCACCAUAAAUAACAAAGUCAUGGAGUCAAGCUGUCACAAUUGGCCACCGUUCCUAA
rnacentral:lncRNA from 10 species